GGGACAUAACCUUGGUUAUACUGAAUGAUAUGUUGCGCUUUUGGUGUCUUAGGUCUUUUAGUUUUGAGUCGUUUGUCGUGUCAUAGUCCGUCUUUUGCGUCUUUUCGGUUGUGUCUUGAGUCGUUUGCAGGUUUUAGGUGUUUAAGUGGGAUGCGGAUGCUUUCGAGACUUGUCAGGCUCAUUUGGACCAAAAACAACAAUGGAAAUGAAGGUUCAGACCCGCCAGGAUGGGA
rnacentral:sRNA from 1 species